GACGAACGCUGGCGGCGUGCCUAAUACAUGCAAGUAGAACGCACAGUUUAUACCGUAGCUUGCUACACCAUAGACUGUGAGUUGCGAACGGGUGAGUAACGCGUAGGUAACCUGCCUGGUAGCGGGGGAUAACUAUUGGAAACGAUAGCUAAUACCGCAUAAUAUUGAUUAUUGCAUGAUAAUUAAUUGAAAGGUGCAAUUGCACCACUACCAGAUGGACCUGCGUUGUAUUAGCUAGUAGGUGAGGUAACGGCUCACCUAGGCGACGAUACAUAGCCGACCUGAGAGGGUGAUCGGCCACACUGGGACUGAGACACGGCCCAGACUCCUACGGGAGGCAGCAGUAGGGAAUCUUCGGCAAUGGACGAAAGUCUGACCGAGCAACGCCGCGGGAGUGAAGAAGGUUUUCGGAUCGUAAAGCUCUGUUGUAAGGGAAGAACGGGUGUGAGAGUGGAAAGUUCACACUGUGACGGUAUCUUACCAGAAAGGGACGGCUAACUACGUG
rnacentral:rRNA from 1 species